rnacentral:rRNA from 1 species
UACGAAGGGUGCAAGCGUUACUCGGAAUUACUGGGCGUAAAGCGUGCGUAGGUGGUGAGUUAAGUCUGUCGUGAAAGCCCCGGGCUCAACCUGGGAAUGGCGAUGGAUACUGGCUCGCUAGAGUGCGGUAGAGGAGAGUGGAAUUCCCGGUGUAGCAGUGAAAUGCGUAGAGAUCGGGAGGAACAUCAGUUGCGAAGGCGGCUCACUGGACCGGAACUGACGCUGAGGCGCGAAAGCGUGGGGAGCAAACGGG